rnacentral:snoRNA from 1 species
CCUCCUUUUCUUGGCAUCUCUGAACUCUCCCCAUGUUUAUGAGAUGAAUGCAACCAGGAGGAAGAUAAAUAUGAUGAACCUUCGGUGUCAGGGUUCUUAUGCCCUGGUCCCAUCCUCUAGCAUCAUUACAGGG